AAUGAUGUAUAUAUCAUCUAAUAAGAACAAACAAAAAUAUCAAUUUAAUCAAAAAGUGAAUAUAACAAAUCCUGGAAACUUCAUACAAUCUACCACAUAACUCAAAACUUUCAAAUCAAACAAGCUAAAACAAAAUAUUUUGAUCAGAAGAAAACCAUGUGAAUAGUUUUAAAAUAUACAAGGAGACUGAAAGUGUUUAGUGUUUGUUUGUUGUUUUGUGAUACUUGUCUUUGACCCAACGAAAACCAACGGCAGAGCCAGUCUUGAGCUUCUUAAAACCCGAAGAAGCCACAGCUUUUGUCUUGUCUAGUCCAUGUCCAAAUUUCUCCUUGUACUUAGCCGUGUUUGAGUUCGACGCAGUUCCACCUCCACCACUUCUGACGACGGCGGUGCCGCUAUUGUCUCACUGGUCAGCCUACGAUGAUGCUCCGUUCAUUAUGAAUAAUAUCCUUUUUGAAAAGCUUUAAAUCAUAAACGAAUUGGUUUUUGUAUGUUAUCAAAGUGAAAACUGAUUUCAAGUUUG
rnacentral:lncRNA from 1 species